rnacentral:lncRNA from 1 species
AUGGGCGCUGAGAGCACAGCAGAAUUCACCACUCUUAUCUCUGGUCCCACAAACCUUCAAGUUGUGAAGACAACCACAACAUCUGCCGUUGUCCAAUGGGAACAAUCGCAAGGAGACAUCGACAGGUAUCGCUUAACUGUUACACCCAAUCAGACAGACGGAACAGCCAAGGGAAGACAAGACCUGACCCUGCCCCCUGAGAGGGACUCUGCCCAGAUUGACGGUUUGGACCCGGGACAUUUGUAUGACAUCACAUUAGUGGCUGAAAAAGGCGGGAUCAAGAGCAAGCCAACAACAGUCCAAGUCACUCCUGGUGAGUUUUAUUGGAUGAGGGGGUUGCUUACCUUACCUACUACAUUGUAUAUGAAAAGGUCCAGGGACAAGAUUGUAUGAGAAGCGAUCUUGAUUAAGUGGGUCAGAUUGUAAUACUAUAUUUUGAGAUAAGGGAGUUGCACAAACAUACAGUCAUGAAACAACAAAGAUAUUGUGAACUAAAGCAGAAGAAGCAGGAGAGAGAGAACGUCAUCACUAUGUUUAAAAAGAGAGAAAUCUCUGAAACAAAUUGGAUUCCCUGGCAAUGUGAAUAUGCAAGGGAGGCCAGCGCUGCUCCUGUGAUGUGUUAUCCCACUAAAGUGAACAUGCCUAGACACGUCAUUAUUCAAUCGAGAAGGUCAUUGGAAGUGAAAUUAAAAUGUUAGAUUGAAAUGAAUUUAUGUACAAUAUAAAACCUCCUCAUGGAGCUAAGCUGAUCUCUCUUCGUAAAAUACAUUCUCCUUUUCUUUCUUUCUUUUGUAUGACUAAUGCUGCUCUCUUUCUCGACAAUAGUAGCACACACUUAACUCACAACAUUGAAUAUUUCAGCACCCGAACAGUGAAUGGCAAGGUUGUGUUGAUGACCAUAUGUAAUAAUCUUUCCACUUCUCUCUGCAGGUUUGGACAGCACAUAGGCCAACUAUUUAUUGCACUAAUGUCAAUGCAGGUGUUGUAGGAAAGAAUACUUUUUCGAAUUGUUCAGUUCAAAGAUAAUAUUUGUGACGUUCCCAUUUGGAUCUAACAGUGCUUCCCUCCUGUAGUUUUAUCUU